rnacentral:tRNA from 1 species
GGUCUCGUAGCUCAGUUGGUAGAGGGUACGCUGUACAAGAGGGGAAGGCGGCGCCCAUGCGUGGGUUCGAAUCCUACCGGGGCUA